UACAGAGGUCCCAAGCGUUGUUCGGAUUCAUUGGGCGUAAAGGGUGCGUAGGUGGCAUGGUUAGUCGGGUGUGAAAUCCCGGGGCUCAACCCCGGAACUGCACUCGAUACUGCCGUGCUCGAGUACUGGAGAGGAGACUGGAAUUUACGGUGUAGCAGUGAAAUGCGUAGAUAUCGUAAGGAAGACCAGUGGCGAAGGCGGGUCUCUGGACAGUUCCUGACGCUGAGGCACGAAGGCCAGGGGAGCAAACGGG
rnacentral:rRNA from 1 species